rnacentral:lncRNA from 1 species
ACAGGUACACGUAUAUAUAUCAAUACUGAUGCUUAGAUUCUAGAUGCUGUUAAUUUUAAGUUAUCUUCAGUUAUUAAUGCCAUGCAAGAUGUUAAGGUCAAUGAGUUGAUCAACAGUAAUGAGAGAACAUGGAAGUGAGAUUUCAUAAACAAUAAAUUUUCCGCAGAUGAUGCUGGAAAAAUCCUUCGUAUCCCUUUAGCACGCACACCUCACGAAGAUUUCUUGGUCUGGGGAGGUGAGUAUUCAGGUGAGUUUUCGGUUCGCAGUGCCUAUAAACUAUUACAAUAAACUAUUACAAGGUUUGGAGGAAAUUCCUAGAGCUUACACUUUACAAACAGGCUAUAUGAACUUUUACAAAAAACUAUGGCUCCUUAAUCUACCAAGCAAAAUUAAGGUUACAAUAUGGAGAAUCUCAUGGAAUUAUUUGUCGACAAGGGUUAAUAUGCAGUAGCAUUAGCUCGUCAGUAACACAAACUGCCCUCGGUGCGGUGAAAGUGCUGAAACAAUCGACCAUAUUUUUCGCAAAUGUCCUGUCACAGUGGAAGUUUGGUCACUAUUAAAAAUUCAGAAUUUGAUUCUGGUUCCUAACAUGGAUUUUUUAUAGUGGAUUACCUGGAUUUUUGAUCUAUUUUUUAAAGGGCAACAAAUAGCAGACUUCAUCAACAACUAUAUUGUUGAACCUAAUGGGCUUGAAAUAAGAAGGUCAAUUAAGGGAAAGGAAACAAGAAAGUGGAGCUACCCACAUCGCGAAUUCGUUAAAAUAAAUUUUGAUGGUGCGUAUGAUGCGACUCACCAUAAAUCUGCCUCAGGGGUUGUGGUCAGAGACGAGGAAAGGCUUGUCCUUCUUUCCUACUCAGAGAUCAACCACGGGGUAUCUUCCGCAUUUGCAGCCGAAGCAAUAGCGUGUAGAAAAGCGGUCAAAGUAGGAGUGGGACAACAAUGGCCGAAGGUGAUAAUAGAAGGCGACUCCCUCACGAUAAUCAAAAAAUGCACAACCAAAAGUCAAGAUCGUUCACAUAUAGGAGCUUAUAUACACGAUAUACAACAAAACAUUAACAGAUCGAGAAGCUUCUUUUUCAAACGUACAAUAAGAUCUGCAAACAACCUUGCGCAUGUAAUAACAACGGAAACUUUAAGAAGGAAGGAGGAGACGUACCUGGAAAUGGGGGUUCCGGUGUAUGCUGAGAUUCAACAAAGAAUGGAUCAGAGACGAGAGCCAGAUUGAUAACAGAGGGGAAACAGAGAAAUGAAAGGAAAGUAAAGGAAAGUCGGAGAAAUGGUUUUUGAAAGGAUAAACUUUCCUAAAAGCUGAAUCGUUAAAAGAAAAUUGAAAGGUACAUUGAUGAUACGACGGUUUACAGUAUGAUCUGACUGGGCAUUAAUUAGGUACAUCAAUCUAUAAUUUUUGACUGUUUGAUAAAUAUCUAGAUAUUUUCUAAUUAGUUUUUGAGCCUUUUUAGUUUCAGGCCGUGUCUUGUUUAGGUGCUGAUUGGUUUUCUCUUUUGCUUUUGGACUUUUACUAUGUACUUUUAUUUUAUUCAGUAUACAGCCCAGUCUGAAUUCUUUCAAAAAAAUUCAUUAAUAUAAUUCAGAAA